ACGGGUGAGUAACACGUAGGCAACCUGCCCUCAAGCUUGGGACAACUACCGGAAACGGUAGCUAAUACCGAAUAUUUGUUUUCUUCGCCUGAAGGAAACUGGAAAGAUGGAGCAAUCUGUCACUUGGGGAUGGGCCUGCGGCGCAUUAGCUAGUUGGUGAGGUAACGGCUCACCAAGGCGACGAUGCGUAGCCGACCUGAGAGGGUGAUCGGCCACACUGGGACUGAGACACGGCCCAGACUCCUACGGGAGGCAGCAGUAGGGAAUCUUCCGCAAUGGGCGAAAGCCUGACGGAGCAAUGCCGCGUGAGUGAUGAAGGUUUUCGGAUCGUAAAGCUCUGUUGCCAGGGAAGAACGCUUAGGAGAGUAACUGCUCCUGAGGUGACGGUACCUGAGAAGAAAGCCCCGGCUAACUACGUGCCAGCAGCCGCGGUAAUACGUAGGGGGCAAGCGUUGUCCGGGAUUAUUGGGCGUAAAGCGCGCGCAGGCGGUCAUUUAAGUCUGGUGUUUAAUCCCGGGGCUCAACCCCGGAUCGCACUGGAAACUGGGUGACUUGAGUGCAGAAGAGGAGAGUGGAA
rnacentral:rRNA from 1 species